rnacentral:rRNA from 1 species
UUUCUCCUACGGGAGGCAGCAGUGAGGAAUAUUGGUCAAUGGGCGGAAGCCUGAACCAGCCAAGCCGCGUGAGGGAAUAAGGCCCUACGGGUCGUAAACCUCUUUUGCCGGGGAGCAAGGGCGGGGACGUGUCCCGGCCCGGAGAGUACCAGGAGAAAAAGCAUCGGCUAACUCCGUGCCAGCAGCCGCGGUAAUACGGAGGAUGCGAGCGUUAUCCGGAUUUAUUGGGUUUAAAGGGUGCGUAGGCGGGGUUUUAAGUCAGCGGUAAAAAUUCGGGGCUCAACCCCGUCCGGGCGU